rnacentral:rRNA from 1 species
GACGAACGCUGGCGGCGUGCUUAACACAUGCAAGUCGAACGAUGAAGCCGGAGCUUGCUCUGGUGAAUUAGUGGCGAACGGGUGAGUAACACGUGAGUAACCUGCCCUUGACUCUGGGAUAACUGCGGGAAACUGUAGCUAAUACCGGAUACGACCCUCGGAGGCAUCUCCUGGGGGUGGAAAGAAUUUCGGUCAAGGAUGGACUCGCGGCCUAUCAGCUAGUUGGUGAGGUAAAGGCUCACCAAGGCGACGACGGGUAGCCGGCCUGAGAGGGGGACCGGCCACACUGGGAAUGAGACACGGCCCAGACUCCUACAGGGGGCAGCAGUGGGGAAUAUUGCACAAUGGGCGCAAGCCUGAUGCAGCAACGCCGCGUGAGGGAUGACGGCCUUCGGGUUGUGAACCUCUUUUAGCAGGGAAGAAGCGAAAGUGACGGUACCUGCAGAAAAAGCACCGGCUAACUACGUGCCAGCCGCCGCGGUAA